GCUGCCGGUGACACUAUCGUUUUGAAACCGUCCAAUAGACGCUUUGUGAAGAGUCUCCGAAGCGCCAUUGAUGAGUGCGUGAAGCUCUUUUUUAUUAUUUUUUAAAUUAUAUUUUGUGGUA